rnacentral:RNase_P_RNA from 1 species
UAGGUGCAACAGGUAGUUGCUGGUGACAUUAUGUCACGAGAGGAAAGUCCGGGCUGCACGUGAGACAGGACUCCAUCUAACGGAUGGCCAGAGUAAUCUGAGGGCAAGUGCAACAGAGAGAAAGUAGUCCAUCUAUUUAUAGUUGGUCAAUGUGAAAGGGUGGGGUAAGAGCCCACCGGUGGGUGUGGUAACACACUCAGCCAGGUAAACCCUGUCCGCAGCAAGAAGUAUAUGGUAUAAGUCUCACAAGCUGUUUACUCAGCACACAUACUUCGCUUGAGCCUAUUGGCAACAAUAGGCCUAGAUAAAUAACUACCCACGACAAAACCCGGCUUAUCGUUGCACCUAAUUA